rnacentral:lncRNA from 1 species
UUUGUGCAUUGCAGAAUACAGUAAAAGCUCGUUAAUUCAAAUUCCACGAGGAUGCUACGAAAAUUGAAAUUAUACAAAAUUCGAGCUAAUGAAA